rnacentral:rRNA from 1 species
GACAGAGGUGCCGAGCGUUAGGCGGAAUCACUGGGCUUAAAGCGUGUGUAGGCGGACCGUUAAGUACCUUGUGAAAUCCCACGGCUCACCCGUGGAACGGCUGGGUAGACUGGCGGUCUUGGGCCACCUAGGGGCAGAUGGAACAGACGGUGGAGCGGUGAAAUGCGUAGAUAUCGUCUGGAACGCCAAAGGUGAAAACAGCUUGCUGGGGGUUUGCUGACGCUGAGACACGAAAGCCAGGGGAGCAAACGGG